rnacentral:rRNA from 1 species
AUGAAAGGUGCAUCAACUAGGAUUGGUUGCAAAGCUAUGAUUAGGCUUAACCGUUUUUCAGAGAGGCAACAAUGGAUGGUGACAAAAUUUGUCAGUGUUCAUAACCACGAACUUAAAAAAAGUAAGCAUUACAACUAUAUUGAUGAUGGCCACGAAGAGUAUCGUGCAAGGUUUGGUAGACAAUGGGAUGCUCCCGACGGGCAUGUACGGAUUGCUUUCAGGAAUGCAUGGAGGCCCUGGUUUGGCGCCUUUUACAAGAAGGGCGGUGAACAGAUUGGCCUAUUCUAUUCGGAGAGAUGA